GGAGAGUUUGAUCCUGGCUCAGGGCGAACGCUGGCGGCGUGCCUAAAACAUGCAAGUCGAGCGGGGGUUGGCCGCGGGGCAACCCGCGGUUUCAGCUCUAGCGGCGAACGGGUGAGUAACACGUGGGCAACCUACCCCGGAGACGGGGAUAACCCCGGGAAACCGGGGCUAAUACCCGAUGCCCUCCCCUGGGGGCAUCCCCGGGAGAGGAAAGGGUUGGGCGCAAGCCCUUCCGCUUCGGGAUGGGCCCGCGGCCUAUCAGCUCGUUGGUGGGGUAACGGCCCACCAAGGCGAUGACGGGUAGCUGGCCUGAGAGGGUGGUCAGCCACACUGGGACUGAGACACGGCCCAGACUCCUACGGGAGGCAGCAGUUGGGAAUCUUGGGCAAUGGGCGCAAGCCUGACCCAGCGACGCCGCGUG
rnacentral:rRNA from 1 species